GAUGAACGCUGGCGGCGUGCCUAAUACAUGCAAGUCGAGCGAACGGACGAGAAGCUUGCUUCUCUGAUGUUAGCGGCGGACGGGUGAGUAACACGUGGAUAACCUACCUAUAAGACUGGGAUAACUUCGGGAAACCGGAGCUAAUACCGGAUAAUAUUUUGAACCGCAUGGUUCAAAAGUGAAAGACGGUCUUGCUGUCACUUAUAGAUGGAUCCGCGCUGCAUUAGCUAGUUGGUAAGGUAACGGCUUACCAAGGCAACGAUGCAUAGCCGACCUGAGAGGGUGAUCGGCCACACUGGAACUGAGACACGGUCCAGACUCCUAAGGGAGGCAGCAGUAGGGAAUCUUCCGAAAUGGGCGAAAGCCUGACGGAGCAACGCCGCGUGAGUGAUGAAGGUCUUCGGAUCGUAAAACUCUGUUAUUAGGGAAGAACAUAUGUGUAAGUAACUGUGCACAGCUUGACGGUACCUAAUCAGAAAGCCACGGCUAACUACGUG
rnacentral:rRNA from 1 species